CGACCGCGACCCCAGGUCAG
rnacentral:rRNA from 10 species